UUGGGGGAAGCGCUUGUCCCAGGCUGGACACGGCCUCCAGUGCUGCUCCGUGUUCCUGGGGCUCGAGAUGUGGGUCCCAAGCCUGUAGCGGCACCUUCAAACAUCUGUGCUGUGGCCCCUCAGGGACUCCUUGAGUGAUGCACCGAGAAGCUGCAGAGAAACCUCCAAGGGGCGCCCCAGGUUACUUCUCAUCACGGCUUCCUGAAAUGAGGCAGAUAUGCCCUCCACCCACCGGAGAGGGAGCUCCUCUGUUAGCAAGUGAAGGGCUCUCUGUAGGGUUUGGAAAAGUGACCCAUCACGUUUAUGGAGUUUGAGGAAAACAGUGCAGUAAUGUGAGAGGACACUGCUUAAUCUCAAACGUGGAGAAAAUGCUGGGGACACAUUUUCAUUCCAUAUCCACCGGCCACCUCUGCUCCUUGCUGUGGCACCUUUCUCCUGUCUUGAGUCUCAGUGCUGCUCCCCGGUCACUUCCUGCUAUUUUACACCAGUGUCCCUGGCUCCCGCUCCCUGCCCCGCCUUUUACAGCAUUGUGUGGGGACUCCACCAUGAGGGUGUGGUCUUCUCUGCACGCUUUUGGGUCAGAUGGCACCAAUGGAGAUCGCUGCAGAAGCAGGGCCGCUCCGGGGACAGGGCACUCGGGCUCUGAUGUGCACCUGGUGAUGGGGUCUGCACACACCGCUGUCAGAGGUCAGGGCCAGGCGGGGCCCCUGUGGCACAGCUGAGCAAACACACACCAGGAACGUUGCUGGCACUGAACGUCCCGGGAGGAAGUGGGGUAAAUAUGAUGGCGACACAAUCAUGUAGGAUUACUCUUCUGCCUGCCUGCUGGGACCUGGAAACACCAUCAGGUCACUUUCAGCUGGUGUGGGUAGACUUGUGGGCGGACGUGUACCUGGGUCAGCGUGGCCAUGGUGGGAAUGGGAAGCCAUGAAUUCCGCUUUGUUGGUGGUGUUGGUGUGGCUGUUAGAGCCUCAAGUAGUGAGGAUGAGGGAGACUUUCCAAGUGAACCCCCGCCCCCACAUACACCGGAGGCCCUUCCUGGUGUCGAGUAGGGGCGUCUGUGUCCACCUCCGCUUGCCAUGUGUGUAUCGGCGUGGCUUCAGUGCCACGUGCAGGGCUGUUGUAUGUUUUUGCUUUUUUUUUUUUUUUUAGAUAUGGGGGAACUUAGGUGCCAUAAAAGAUUAUAAACCCAGGCUUCCUUUCUAAACAUUUGGAAUAUCUUUCCGAAAUGUCCUGCAGUGUACCUCCAUCAUUUUGUUGGGGUCAAGCAAAUGUUAUCAUAGGACACUGUAAAUAUCUUAAUUGUCAGAAAUCUUUAACAUUGCUUGCGUCACCUGGGAGAGCUUGCCGGGAGCCCGCUGGUCACAAUGGGAGCCUAACUCAUGGCAGUGGCCGUGCGGGCGCCACUCCCACAGGUGCCGGGAGGGACGGGAGCCACCCCACUGCUCAGGGAGACCUUGGGCAAGUCUCCUAACACGCACAGACCCGGUUUCCUGAGAGGAACGGACGGUGGUUUAGACCAGCUGUGGUUAAGAGGUCACACUUUUCCAGGUUUCAGGGAACGUGUGCACAUCUUGCUGGGCCCCUGCCUGUGUGUUCUCACCAUGAAACAUGUCUCCGUGGUGGUCUUCCCACGCUUACCUUCCAGACCACAGACCAGUUGUGUGGGGCGUUCUCUGGCCCUGUCACUACAAGUCCCUGUACUCCGCUAAGGAUCUCCACCAGGAGGCUCCCGUUUGAGGAGUCAAGGUGAACGUUGUUGCUGAGCCAAGGAGAUUAACAGAGGUGCCAAAGAAGGUGCAUUUGCAGGGCGUCAGGGGCUGAUGAUGUUGUGCUUGGAGAAGAAAACCAUGCAGUCAGCUGUUUCUCUUGUUCCUGGCCGGCAUCCAGCCUGUGAGAGCUCCACCUGCCGUCCCUGGGGAUGCCAGGUUCCCCUCUGGCUCUUUGUUUCGUUCACCCUCCUGCUGACAAAGACCUGAGGUGCUUUAGGGACACCAUUUGCGUUUUCAUGUUCUCUUUCAGCCGAUUGUGGUGUAAGUGGUCGCGUGUCUUCCCUGGUCUCGGCAGCAGGUGGGAUGGGUCUCGGUGGCCCCAGUGUCAGCCAGGCUCUGGGACGGGAGCCGAGGCUCCCGUGGUCGGCCUUUCUCUCAACGGCGUUAAGAGCUCUGGCAUGAUGAUUUAGGGGACACCCAUCAGCUUUGCCGUGAUCCAACCUGCGGACUUACCUGCGCCCACGUGGUGCCGGUGCAGUCGUGGGGUGACCUGUGCCCAUCUAUCCUCUGGAGUCCAAGAAGGGGGAGGACGUGUGGGCCUCGUGGAGACGAGUGUGAGCACGCAGCUCCUUGCACACCGGGCUGCGGUGCUCGGCCCAGAGGGUGGCAGGUGUGUGUUCGGUGGCCAGGAGUGUGGCCUCCAUGCUCUGUGUGCUGCAGAAGGGAUUCAAAGCGUGACGCUGUGGACAUGGCUGAGCGAGGUGGAAGAGAGCCAGCUUGCUGCUCAGGUGAUGUUUCCCGUCGAAUGCUGUCCCCCAGAAGAUGGUGACCUGACUUGGAAAUAGGCUCUCUGUAGCUGAUCGAGGCAGGAUGAGGGCAUCAGGAUAGGCCUAGUCCAGUGAGACUGGUGUCCUUAUAAAAUGAGGAAAUUUGGGCAUAGGGACAGACAUGACAGAAGAGAGAGUGGGAAUGCCCGAGGCCACCAGUUGCUGGGGGAGGGGCAGCCCCAGGAAGAACCAGCCCCCCCUGAUAUUGGACUUCUGGCCUCCAGAACUGUGGGAGAAUAAAUUCUAUUGGGUAAGCUGCCCCAUCCGUGGGCCACUAGCCAGGGGACACUGAUACCUUUUGUGUGAGUGCUACUGUAGCUGCUCUCAGGCCUCCAGACAGGUGCCUCGUCUGAUACUCAGACAGGUGCGGCCCAAGGACGUUCCUGGGCCCGUGCCGCAUGGGGAAGAGAUGGGAAGAGUUCCCAUGUGAUGGGAACUUGCUCUGCAGCUGCGCUCUGUGCAGUGUGACAGCAGAGGCCUCCGAGGACAUCUUCCCAUGUCUAGAUGCAAAGUGUGGCACAUAGUAGGAGCUCAGCUGGGAAAACGCCAAUGAUUCACACAGAACUUGGCCACUUGAGGGCAACAUGUCACUGGCGAGAACAUUGUUAGUGAGAUGUUUUAUGUUCUUUUCCCCAGAACUCUUCAAAGUCUGGUGUGUUUUACCUCUUUUACUCGCAUGUUCAUGAGCCCUGGUGCUGGUGGCUACCAGACUCUAGAGUUCAGAUCCUCACCUAACUGCUAAAUGUCUUCGGUGAUUCGAUGAGCCUGAAGCCCCGUGGUGAUGAGAUAACCGUCCGCUCCCUUCUGUGUCACAGAAGGGGAGAGACAGCUGCCCUCUCCACCCCAUGAGAGGUCAACGGGCGUGACUUCACAGGGUGUGACCCUGUGACACACAUCUAGUGGAUGUUCUGUGGCAGGCACUGUGGUGGCCACAAGAAGUAAACCUGGUCCCUACUCCAAGAUUUUAGGGUUUAGUUGAGAAGGUGAUAAAAGCUACGGGGCUUAAAGAAGGAAGGGAUUACUUUUGCCCCCAAAUCUGGAGGGGUGUGUGGGAAAGUACAAGACGACGAAGACUGAAGUGCAGUGUCUUGUGGGGCCCACCUGGAGGAGCUGGCCACCACCCGAUGUCACGGUCCUCUUUUUGGCUUUUAAGAACAGAGGCCCGGGCCAUGCUGCCACACGGGUCCAGGGGAGCCAGCUGUUGGGGAGACACCCUGUUCUGUCUAAACUCAAGGCCAGGAAGAGUGGUGAUCAAAGCCAGGCCUGUGGCCACCUCCCACCUCCGUGCCCAGGUGUGACUGCCCGGAAUGUGGAAGGCACUCAGACAUCUGCCGGGUGGACCGCUCACGAUCCCGUGUUGAGAGGCACAGAGCACGUAUAUUGCCGUUCAGCACUUCCUGUUUUUGAAUCCAGUGGGGAAGCGUGGAGGAGUGUUCCCAGGGCUCUGCCUCCAGAACCCAAAUCCAGCAGACACAGGGAGACACUCCUCCCUGGGGAGUGUCAGUCACCUGUAGGGGUGACCAUGGCCUGAAGGACAUGCUGACGUGACGUGAUCUGUGCACACAGUUGCUUUCCUGUCUUAGUGUCUCUGAGGACCUGCUGUGCACUUGGGUAUACCUGCCGUGUGACUGUGUUACCACUUACCUCCUUUUGUAAAUCAGAUCAUAAAUUCACUUUGAGAAUUUUUCAUUUAUAAAAGGAACCAGUAGUAA